rnacentral:rRNA from 1 species
UACGAAGGGGGCUAGCGUUGCUCGGAAUCACUGGGCGUAAAGGGUGCGUAGGCGGGUCUUUAGGUCAGGGGUGAAAUCCUGGAGCUCAACUCCAGAACUGCCUUUGAUACUGAGGAUCUUGAGUUCGGGAGAGGUGAGUGGAACUGCGAGUGUAGAGGUGAAAUUCGUAGAUAUUCGGAAGAACACCAGUGGCGAAGGCGGCUCACUGGCCCGGUACUGACGCUGAGGUGCGAAAGCGUGGGGAGCAAACAGG